GUCCACGCCCUAAACGAUGCGGACUGGACGUUGGGCUCAACUAGGAGCUCAGUGUCGAAGCUAACGCGUUAAGUCCGCCGCCUGGGGAGUACGGUCGCAAGACUGAAACUCAAAGGAAUUGACGGGGGCCCCGCACAAGUGGUGGAGUAUGUGGUUUAAUUCGAUGCAACGCGCAGAACCUUACCUGGCCUUGACAUCCACGGAAGCCUUCAGAGAUGAGGGUGUGCCUUCGGGAACCGUGAGACAGGUGCUGCAUGGCUGUCGU
rnacentral:rRNA from 1 species